UACGUAGGGUGCAAGCGUUGUCCGGAAUUAUUGGGCGUAAAGAGCUCGUAGGCGGUCUGUCGCGUCUGCUGUGAAAUCAGGGCUCAACCCUGGACCUGCAUUCGAUACGGGCGGACUAGAGUUCGGUAGGGGAGACUGGAAUUCCUGGUGUAGCGGUGAAAUGCGCAGAUAUCAGGAGGAACACCGGUGGCGAAGGCGGGUCUCUGGGCCGAUACUGACGCUGAGGAGCGAAAAGCGUGGGGGAGCAAACAGG
rnacentral:rRNA from 1 species